rnacentral:rRNA from 1 species
UACGGAGGGUGCAAGCGUUGUUCGGAAUUACUGGGCGUAAAGCGCGUGUAGGCGGCUUGGCAAGUCGAGUGUGAAAUCCCAGGGCUCAACCCUGGAACUGCACCCGAAACUGCUUCGCUAGAGUCCCGGAGAGGGUGGCGGAAUUUCCGGUGUAGAGGUGAAAUUCGUAGAUAUCGGAAGGAACACCAGUGGCGAAGGCGGCCACCUGGACGGUGACUGACGCUGAGACGCGAAAGCGUGGGGAGCAAACAGGAUUAGAUACCCCCGUA